rnacentral:rRNA from 1 species
CCUACGGGCGGCUGCAGUGGGGAAUAUUGGACAAUGGGCGAAAGCCUGAUCCAGCCAUGCCGCGUGUGUGAAGAAGGCCUUCGGGUUGUAAAGCACUUUCAGUGGGGAAGAAAGCCUUGGGGCUAAUACCCUCGAGGAAGGACAUCACCCACAGAAGAAGCACCGGCUAACUCCGUGCCAGCAGCCGCGGUAAUACGGAGGGUGCGAGCGUUAAUCGGAAUUACGGGGCGUAAAGCGCGCGUAGGCGGUCUGAUAAGCCGGUUGUGAAAGCCCCGGGCUCAACCUGGGAACGGCAUCCGGAACUGUCAGGCUAGAGUGCAGGAGAGGAAGGUAGAAUUCCCGGUGUAGCGGUGAAAUGCGUAGAGAUCGGGAGGAAUACCAGUGGCGAAGGCGGCCUUCUGGACUGACACUGACGCUGAGGUGCGAAAGCGUGGGUAGCAAACAGGAUUAGAUACCCUUGUAGUC